UACGUAGGGUGCAAGCGUUGUCCGGAAUUAUUGGGCGUAAAGGGCUCGUAGGCGGUCCAUCGCGUCGGGAGUGAAAAGCUGGGGCUUAACCCCAGUCCUGCUUCCGAUACGGGUGGACUAGAGGUAUGCAGGGGAGAACGGAAUUCCUGGUGUAGCGGUGAAAUGCGCAGAUAUCAGGAGGAACACCGGUGGCGAAGGCGGCGUUCUGGACUGUUUCUGACACUGAUAAACGAAAGCCAGGGGAGCAAACGGG
rnacentral:rRNA from 1 species